rnacentral:rRNA from 1 species
UACAGAGGUCCCAAGCGUUGUUCGGAUUCACUGGGCGUAAAGGGCUCGUAGGCGGCGUGUCGCGUCGGGAGUGAAAGCCCGUUGCUUAACGGCGGGUUGGCUUUCGGUACGGGCAUGCUGGAGUGCGGCAGGGGAGACUGGAAUUCCUGGUGUAGCGGUGGAAAUGCGCAGAUAUCAGGAGGAACACCGGUGGCGAAGGCGGUUCUCUGGGAAUGUUCUGACGCUGAGGAGCGAAAGUGUGGGGAGCGAACAGG